rnacentral:rRNA from 1 species
UACGGAGGGUGCAAGCGUUAUCCGGAUUCACUGGGUUUAAAGGGUGCGUAGGCGGGUUGGUAAGUCCGUGGGGAAAUCUCCGAGCUUAACUCGGAAACUGCCGUGGAUACUAUCAAUCUUGAAUAUCGUGGAGGUAAGCGGAAUAUGUCAUGUAGCGGUGAAAUGCUUAGAGAUGACAUAGAACACCAAUUGCGUAGGCAGCUUACUACACGAUCAUUGACGCUGAGGCACGAAAGCGUGGGGAGCAAACAGG